rnacentral:lncRNA from 1 species
UUAUUUGCACUAUUUUGAAGAAUUGAAAAGUUGGUUGUCUCUUUGUUGAAUUAUUUGCUCCACUCUUGAAAAUAAGAAAACUUGAUUGUUUUCUUGUUGAAUUAUUUUGCACCACUUUUGAAGAUAAUUAUUCUUUCAAACUUUCAUCAUUUUUUUUAAUAUAAACCCACCAAAACCUAUUGAGAUAGAAAAUCAAACAUCUAAUAUAGUAGAACAUUCUGAUGGUUCAAUAGAUAUUUCUUUUAAUAGUAUAUUACCAAGACAUUCUAUAGGAGCAAGUACUAAUGCUAGAAACACUAUAGAUGAAAAUUUAUUUAGAAGAAGCCUAUCAAUGAAAAUGAAAGGAGUUAAUCAAGAUUUUCAAUUAAUAAAUUCAGGUAUAUUUUAAAUUUACAUUAUGUUUAUUCAUGUGCUUAUUGAUCUUGCCAUCUCUCUAUCAUUCAUAUAAUUCAUAUAGAGAUGGCAAGAUCAAUAAGCACAUGAAUAAACAUAAUGUAAAUUUAAAAUAUACCUGAAUUUAUUAAUUGAAAAUCUUGAUUACAAAUAAUUUCCUUACAAUCGGGAGGAGCAACUAUAAUUUGAAAAUCUAAAGAUUUUAAACAUUGAGAGGUUGAUAAUACAAGGUUUAGGUUUGAGGGUUUUUUCAUACAUAAGAAAUGGGUUUUCUAAAUGAAGUG